rnacentral:lncRNA from 1 species
GUUAAAGUAUCGAGCCGAAAAAUUUAGCUCGUGUUCGGCUCGUUUAUUAACGAGCCGAACACGAGCUGGCUCACGAGCUAGCCAACGAACAAUAAAUUAAAAAAAUUAGAUUAAAUAUAUAUAAAAAUAAAUUUAUAAAAUCUUAUCAAUUAGACUUUGAUCUAAUAGUUGAAACUUUACAUAUAAAUGAGUUUUUUUAUAAUUAAGCUCGCAUUUAUAUUUUUAUUUUGCUAAAAUUAAAUAAUAAAAAUAAAUAUAAAAUAUAUGUAUUCGAGUUGAGCCGAACACAAGCGAGCUGACCCCAGCUCGUGUUCGGCUCGUUUACUAAACGAGCGAGCCGAUCUCGAGCUUAUUUCGAGCCGAACACGAGCUGGCUCGCGAACAGCAAGCUGAAUUGCCACCCCUACCCACCGGGGACCAAUCAGAGCUCGGCUAGUUAACUGUGGUCCCCACUUGUCUCCACGUCAUCGCCUCGAGAAGUUAACCCACCUCAGGCCUUAAUUAUGUGCACGCCGAGAAUCGUGCGUUGCCUCAUAUAUAAUUUUUGGAAAAACUUCAAAAAUUCCCUGUAGUUUCGUAGUUUCUCACUUUACCCUUCUGUGGUUUAAAAUAUAUCAAUUUGCCCCCCUGUAUUUUUUUUUUCUCUUUUUCUUAUCAAUUUCAUUAUGUUUUUUUCUUAAAUCAGUGAUUAAAAUUAAAGGGUACUAAAGUAAAUAUUUGAUAAAUCUAGAUGGAUAUCUGAAGUUUUUUGUAUAUAAUUUAAUGAAAUAUUAACAAAAAAGCUACCGAAAAGAUAAAAACGAAACCACAGGAGGGCAAUUUGAUACAUUUUAAACCACAAGGGGGUAAAGUGAGAAACUACGAAACCACAGGGGGGGUUUUAAAGUUUUUCCAAAAAACUACAUGAAAGAUUCAAAAGCAUUGAGACAAGGGCAAUUAAAAAAGGCUAGUGAAACAAACAACCUAAUCUUAUUUUGAUUUUUAGAUACGUUGACUAUCUAAUCUACAAGUUUUCGCUGCCAUCUCAAUUCCAAUAGUUUGAUAUCACAAAAUGAGGUUGUCGCUCAAUGGCUAGGGCUGCGAAUAGGAAUGUCAACGGGUCGGAUUCGGAGCGGAUUUUCAAAAAUCCAGAUCCGAACCCGACUCCAAAUCCGAAAACCGAAUUAGAACCCGAACCUGACGGAUUUUAAAAAUUCAUAUCCAAACUUGAGCAUGACCAAAAAUAUAAAACACGAAUCCGAACUCGAACUUGAAAAUUUGAAACCGAAACAAUUAUUUCU